rnacentral:lncRNA from 1 species
AAAUUGAAUACUUGGGAGAAUCAUCAAACAUGAAUUACUAGCUAGUUGCAGAGUUUAUUGAUAGUCCGUAGACCACUACAACGUGCUUCUAAAUCACAGUGGGACUCUAAUGACAUCAGAAUCAGUAAUUUCUGUUGGGCCUGUUGGGCCACUAUGACCUUGAUCAUUUUUGUGUGGUAACUAAUACUUUAAUAGCCUUCUUUACAUUUUUUUAUAUUCAAAGGAUAACAAUAAAAUCAGUGCCAAGCAUUACUUCAUAUCUCUUCAAUUUUAAGGAUUCUUUUUUUUCAAAGAAUGAGGAGGCACAAGUGCCCCACACCGUGGAGGAGGCUGAACAGGUAGCUCCUUGGGGAUCUAAGCGAGCUCCCACGUUAAGGAGGUAAAAACCUGGGGCCACUUUGAUUGAAGGUACAGUUUCAAUACACUUACACAAAGGAAAUAAAGUCGCCAGAUCGACUACUUACACAUGGGGAGCGGAGAGGGUGCGCAGGCGCAACAAGCGGGGAAGGGCCGUCCUCCAUCCUAGGUCACCAGGGAACGAGAGAUAGCAGGGAAGCAAGCACCUCUUACUUUCAAGGUGGUUGGGGCGGAUCUUGCAAAUUUUAUGUGAGCUCAACUCUGAGUGGUCAAUUUAUAAGGUGCCCCAGGAAAAGCAAGGCGGGAACUUGUGACCAGAAUCCUAACCGCAGGUCCUUAUCUCAAAGUCCAGAGUCUGGGUGUGAGCAGGCUUGCCAUACUGUAAAAUGCCUAGCAGCAACUCCAAAAACGGCUGUUUUCUCACCACAAAAGCAUCAUAUAGCAACAAUCCUGGAGAAAACUGAUGAUUUGGGAUUCUUUCUUGAUCUCUCACUCUUUUUUCUCUUUUUUAAAGGAUUUCUUUUAGGAGGAACGUCUUAUAUGCUCAUUCUAUGUGUCUUAAUGAAAGUUUACUUUAUGUGAAUGGAUCUGUAUAAGAAUACAAUUUAUAUGAGUAGAUGGAUGGCUGCUUGGACAGUGUCAAAGACAAGCAACACUGCUUGUGACUUCAUGUGAGAAACCCUAAAAUGCAAAGCAAAUGAGAUGUAGACUGCAGGAAGUUCUGCCAGAGAGAAGCCAAGUAAACGGCAAGUGAUGCUAAAGGAUGGAACACUGGAAUGAACCUUACUCUGGAAAAAUGGUAGAUAAGGCAGUACGUCAAUUUAUGCCAACACAAUCUAUGUAAAGAAAAUAAACAAGAUUUUUAUGUUAAAGCA